CUGUCUUCUCGUCUACCUGUCCUCUCGUCUGCCUGUCUGCCUGUCUUCUCGUCUGCCUGUCUUCUCGUCUACCUGUCUUUUCGUCUGCCUGUCUUCUGCUCUCAGCUUCCUGCUGCUACAGCCGUUGUCCGCUCCUGUUUCCCUUCCACACCAUUCUGAGCCUCGUAAAUCCCCACUCCUCUGUCAUUUUUGGAGCUGUUUCCCAGAGAGCCUUCUGGAGAUGAUUUGGAUUGCAAAAAGGUGUUGUGACUGAGCCCCAGACUCCGGACUUCUACCACACUCCAACGAUUGUCUUUCUCUGUCUUGACUUCUGUGUCUGUUGGGACCUCCAUCCACUUCCUGUACCGAGGACUCCGCCCCUCUGUUCUACCUGCAGGUCACACUCCUCAUCCCACAUCCGUACAUUGGCUGGAUUUCUCCAGGACCUGGGCUCCUUCACGUUAAAGAAUAAAAAUAAAUCUGGUUUCUUGCAA